rnacentral:rRNA from 1 species
UACGUAGGGGGCAAGCGUUGUCCGGAUUUAUUGGGCGUAAAGAGCGUGUAGGCGGCCAAGUAAGUCUGCUGUGAAAACUCGAGGCUUAACCUCGAGCUGUCGGCGGAAACUAUUUGGCUAGAGUCCGGAAGAGGAGAAUGGAAUUCCCGGUGUAGCGGUGAAAUGCGCAGAUAUCGGGAAGAACACCCGUGGCGAAGGCGGUUCUCGUGGGACGGUACUGACGCUGAGA